rnacentral:lncRNA from 1 species
UAAAAUUAAGAAACAUCAACAUUUCAUUAACUGUAAAAAAUACUGUCACAGUAGUAUCAUAUGUCAUAAGCUAAACUUGAACAUAGUUAUUCAUCCAUAGUAAUCUGCUAUUACAUUGUCUUAAUACAUCCACUUCAAUUGAAAUGAAUCUCAAUUGCUAUCACAAGGAUUACUAGCUCCAGAAGAUCUUCUUGCAUCCGUUGGUGAAACGGGUCCACUAGCUGCAUCUCUUGGCUGCAGCAAAAAGUAAAUAAUGUGUGAAAAUGAGGGUGCAAACACCUCUUUAUUCUGCUUAACUAAGACAAGUAAGGAUCUGGUAUCUACUUGAGCUUCACACGCCUAGUCUUUAACCAGAAUACUUUGAUAAAAUAUUGAAGACAAGAGGGGUUGCUCUGAUGGUAAGCAACCCCCACUUCCAAUCGAGAUGUUGUGAGUUCGAGUCUCCGCAAGAGCAAGGUGGGAAGUUCUUGGAGGGAAGGAUGCCGGGGGGCUAUUUGCCAAUCGAGAUGUUGUGAGUUCGAGUCUCCCCAAGAGCAAGGUGGAAAGUUCUUGGAGGGAAGGAUGCCGGGGGUCUAUUUGGAAAUAGUCUCUCUAUCCCAGGGUAGAGGUAAGGUCUGCGUACAUACUACCCUCCCCUGAACCCACUAUGUCGGAUUAUACUGGAUUGUUAUUAUUGUUGUUGUUCUUUGAUAAAAUAUUCAGUAACCCCAUGAGAGUUUAGGAGCAGACAGGUAGUGGUAUACCCUCCAUGAUACUGACCAAGCCACAUAAAUACUGGUAUAUCAACAAUACACAUCAGAUAACGAAUACUCAAAAACAAUAGCACCCUCCAAAUUGGUUCUCUCGAAGGGCGAAGACAAUUCAUCCCCAGCUUUACAAGGAUGCAACAACAACUAGAUUUAUGUGUGACACUGCAUUUUCCUUUUAACUGUUGUGCGUGAAUCACAGAAGUAAUAUACCUACCAUUUAUUUUAACGCAAGUAGGAGUAAACAAAUCGGCAUCCUAACCACCUCUGCAGUGGGAACGCAUUCUAUGGGCUGGACAGUGGUAAAUUCCACCAACAUAAAGCCAAAUGUUCAUUCAAUAGAGUCUGAACCUGUGCUAUCUUUCUAUCAAUAGCUAUCUCUACAGGAUGAAGCAACCAGAUACUAAAGACUAGCAGCUAUUAAACAGUGAUAUUAAUAUUUAACUGAAAGAUAAUAACAUGCAUAGACAAGAAUAUCACCCACAUAAACGAGGCAGCUAACAAGGCAAAGUGUGAGCACAAUGCGAUCUUGUAACUUUUCUAGAUCCGUCAAACUCAAACUUUUAAGACAAAGUUCUCUGAAAAAAGAGGAAAGCUCUACUAAGACUGCAACAACCUCCUUUGGCAGCACAUUCCGAAUUGCUAUUGGUAGCAAUUGCUCCAUAAUAAUGUGACAAUCAUGACUCUUUUAUCUAAAGAUUCUCCUUUGGUCUGGAUCAAUACAAUCAGAAAUAUUACUCGAGUAACCAUUCGGCACUGAAAUAUUCUUUAAAGUUGUGAGGAAAGCCACUUUCUUUUCCUUUGGAAUGGUAAACACAGCGGUCAAUACUCAUCAUUCUCAUCAGGUCAAAGAUCACGCUUUAUACCCAUAUCUUGCAGAUUUUUUCGCGCCUUAAUAUUAUCUUUUGACUUGUCUUUAUCAUUGAGCAAAUAAUAUAUAACAUUGUCAAACACAUUCUUUUUUAUGUGCACGACAUUUAAAUUGUGGCGCAAUGAAUUGAACUCCCAAUAUGGAAGAUUAAAGAAUAUGUUUUUUUCCUCCAUUGUUGUGCUUCACCUUGCCUAAUAUUUCUUUGUCUAGAUCUUUUUCUUCUCUCACUCAACUCAACCGAUUUUCCAAAUGUAACAUCGGUACCUUUCACUUGUUGCAAAAUAUCAUACCCGGAUAACUUUCUUGGUGGAUUUCUUUCUUCCCCAUUUCCAUCAAAGCGAUGCCUCAUCAGUCUAAAUUUAUGAUUUCUUGCUAAAAAUCUACGAUGACCAAUAAAGCACCACUUUCUACUAUGGCGAAGCCGACAAGGUUCUGCAUCAAAAUUACAAGUGGGACAUGCUAAACCAGUAUGUGAGUUCCAACCAGAUAAGAUAUCGAGUUCAAGAAAAUCACUAAUUGUCCACAUAAGAGCAACUCGCAACCUAAACAUAUCUUUCUUUGAUGAAUCAAAAGUUUUGACACCUUCACUCCACAACUCAUUCAACUCCUUAAUAAGGGGUUGUAGUUAUCUAUGUUAUUUCCCACCGUACGUGGACCAGGAAUGAUUAUUGAGAGGAUAAAAUUAGAUUGUUUCAUACACAACUAAGGAGAAAGGUUGUAUGUGACUAAAAUGACUGGCCAAAUUCUAUAAUUAGUACUCAUCGUACCAAAAGGAUUGAAGCCAUCACUAGCUAGGCCAAGCCAAACAUUCCGGGGAUCAAAGGCAAAUUCAGGAAAAGUUGUAUCAAACCUAUUCCAUGCCUCACCAUCUCUAGGAUGCCUCAUGAUUCCAUCUUUGUUACUAUAUUCAGCAUGCCAUCUCAUAUAUUUUGCUAUUUUAGAGCACAUGAACAAUUUCUGCAACCUUGGUUUUAAUGGAAAGUAACGCAAAAUCUUUGCGGACUUCUUAGUUUUCUUCUUACCUGUGGCAGACACAAUAUCUUCAUUUCUUUUCUUAUCAGUCUUCCACCUAGAAAUGUGACAAUACUUAUUUGUUUCCUCAUUAGCAUCAUUCCCCAAAAUAACAUACAAUCAUUUAGAAGCAUCUAUCUUGAUAUAAUCAAGACAAAGCUUGCUGAUAGUUUUCUUGGCCUCACAAAAAGAAUGAGGUAUCCGUGCAAAUGUAAAUGCAUCCCUCAACAAAUAUAGUAUCAUGGUCAUUCCCUUGUCACUUAGCCUAGACAAACAUUUUAUGUGAUACAAUUUUAAUAAAAAUUCUAGUUUUGAAUACUUGGACCCUUCAAACAUUCUUGACUCCCAUCCAUAAGCAACUCAAAAAAGUCUUUAUCAUUUGAAGCAGGCUCAUCAUUUAACCUUUCUUCACCACCCGCUACUUGUGACGGACCUACAUCAACCCCAUCGUGCCUUAGGCCCCCAAAUGCUUCAUUAAUCAAUAAUUUAACUGGAUUUUCAGGAGGUAAUGUAUCUUGUAUAACCACAUUAUUUAAGAAUUAGGCAAUAUAUUUCUGUCACCAUGAAUAGUCCAAGUGACAUAAUUUUCAAGGAAUGGUUUGCAAAUCAAAUGUUUGAAUGCUACCUCUCUAGUCUGCCACUUUGCGAAUCCACAUUUAGGACAAUGACACGUUAUUCUAUCUCCAGCAACAACAUUAGCAAAUGCAAAAUCUAAAAAUUGAUUUAAACCAACUAAAUAUUCCCUGGAGUUCCUUGGCUUGCUAGUCAAAGAUUUAUCCAUAGAAAAGUAUUAACUUUCAAGUCCAGCUGAUGAACCUUUCAGAAUAUAAAGAGAAAAUAUCAGUUCUUUAUAAAAAUUCACAAUAAAAGUUCAUUCUCAAAAGAAAAAUUCACAGUAAAAAUUGGGAUAAGUAUUGUUCAUAAAAUAUUACAGUCUUAAUUAUUAUCUUACCCAAAAUAGAGUGUAAUAAACCAAAUCUUAACAAGCACACUGACUAUAGACAAUGUAACAAUAGAUUCUAACAUAUGCAAUGUACUAGAUAAUAUACAAAAUCAUGAUAACAAGAGGGGAAAUAAGCUGUAAAGGGAACUUCUUGUAUGCUGAUUUUAUGCCCAAUAUUUGUCAAUAACCUCCAGGUUCAAGUAGCACAACACAAAUGUCAUAGAGGUCAUGCUCAUCGGGAGCAGUGAAGGAAACUACACAAAUACAACUACAAGCAUAGUAGCAGCAUCAAUAGCAAUGUCCAAAUUUUGCAACUGAGCAGUCAAUGUAACAAUGAAAGCACCAAUGUACUACAAAUUUAAAUUUUGAUCAAUUCCAUUUUCAGCAUAUGAGCAAAAACAAGGAAACAACCAAGCAUCUGGACCUCAAAUUAUAAAUGGGAUCCUACAAUCAGGGUUAGCUUGGAGAAAGGGCGUUCAAAUGUUCAAUUGAACCCACUUGUCAAAGAAGACGGGCAGUGGUAAUGGAGAACUACCAAAAGCACAAAGAAAUCAAGGAAAAAACACACAAAAAUCAUACAGAUCGACCAUUUAAUACACACAAUAAUUCAAUAUCAAACACUAUUUAAUCACACAGAUCGACCAAAUUACAUACAUAAAUUCAAAAUUAACAGAAAACCCAUGAGGGGAAAUGAGGAAAGAAAGAGAAAAAUCAAACAUGGGAGGUGUAAAAGCGGUGGAGAUUGAAGUAGAGAACUUCGAUUGAAACAGACCUUUGAUUGAAGUGGAGAACUUCGAAAAGAAGCAGAGAACUUCGAUUAAUGGAGGUGUAAAACUAUUGAGCAGAGGACUUUGACUAAUUAGCGGAAUCUAGGGUUUUGGCGGGUGAAGACGGCGGUAACAGAGUACGUAUGCCGGUGGCGGCGACGGGAGAAAAUGCGGAGGCGGUAAUGCCGGGGAUUGAAGGGAUGGACGAGUUCAGCGGGAGUUUUUGGUGUAUUUGGUGGGGCGGAAGUUUCUAGGGGGAAAAAUUGGAGGGAGUGUAAAUUAAAAGACCCACUAUUAUUUUUAGGGUUGCAGAUGUUUUUGAC